AGCGAACGCUGGCGGCAGGCUUAACACAUGCAAGUCGAACGGUCCUUCGGGAUAGUGGCGGACGGGUGAGUAACACGUGGGAACGUACCCUUAGGUUCGGAACAACACAGGGAAACUUGUGCUAAUACCGGAUAAGCCCUUCGGGGGAAAGAUUUAUCGCCUUUGGAGCGGCCCGCGUCUGAUUAGCUUGUUGGUGAGGUAAUGGCUCACCAAGGCUACGAUCAGUAGCUGGUCCGAGAGGAUGGCCAGCCACACUGGGACUGAGACACGGCCCAGACUCCUACGGGAGGCAGCAGUGGGGAAUCUUGCGCAAUGGGCGAAAGCCUGACGCAGCCAUGCCGCGUGGAUGAUGAAGGUCUUAGGAUUGUAAAAUCCUUUCACUGGGGACGAUAAUGACGGUACCCGGAGAAGAAGCCCCGGCUAACUUCGUGCCAGCCGCCGCAGUAA
rnacentral:rRNA from 1 species